rnacentral:rRNA from 1 species
CAGAGGGUGCGAGCGUUGUCCGGAAUCACUGGGCGUAAAGGGCGCGUAGGCGGCCUGAUAAGUAGGGGGUGAAAUCUUGCGGCUCAACCGCAAGGCUGCCUUCUAAACUGUCAGGCUGGAGCACGGUAGAGGCAGAUGGAAUUCCCGGUGUAGCGGUGGAAUGCGUAGAGAUCGGGAAGAACACCAGUGGCGAAGGCGGUCUGCUGGGCCGUUGCUGACGCUGAGGCGCGACAGCGUGGGGAGCAAACAGGAUUAGAUACCCUGGUAGUCCACGCCGUAAACGAUGGGCACUAGGCGUCGGGGGGAGCGACCCUCCCGGUGCCGUCGCUAACGCAGUAAGUGCCCCGCCUGGGGAGUACGGCCGCAAGGCUG